GAUGAACGCUAGCGGCAGGCUUAACACAUGCAAGUCGAGGGGCAGCACGGGUAGCAAUACCUGGUGGCGACCGGCGCAAGGGUGCGUAACGCGUGAGCAACAUGCCCUAUACAGGGGGAUAAUCCAGGGAAACUUGGUCUAAUAUCCCAUAGUAUUUAGAGGAGGCAUCUUCUAUAAAUUAAAGCUUCGGUGGUAUAGGAUUGGCUCGCGUGACAUUAGCUAGAUGGUGAGGUAACGGCUCACCAUGGCAAUGAUGUCUAGGGGUUCUGAGAGGAAGGCCCCCCACACUGGAACUGAGACACGGUCCAGACUCCUACGGGAGGCAGCAGUGGGGAAUUUUGGACAAUGGGCGCAAGCCUGAUCCAGCCAUUCCGCGUGCAGGAUGAAGGCCUUCGGGUUGUAAACUGCUUUUGUACGGAACGAAACGGUCUGCCCUAAUACGGUGGGCUAAUGACGGUACCGUAAGAAUAAGCACCGGCUAACUACGUG
rnacentral:rRNA from 1 species